rnacentral:misc_RNA from 1 species
GUAUUAAAUUUUGACCAAUAAAGGUCUUCAUUAGACAUUCUAAUAGACUUGUGUGUGUAAAAAUAACAUAGACACAGACAGUAACAUCUGGCCUACAAUAAGUUCACAGGUGAGAUGAAAAGGCGGAGUGCACAUGCCCCAAAAGGCCAGCAACAUCCUAAGGAUUUCAAUAAUGAUCCUUCCGCAGGUUCACCUACGGAAA